AGUCACUGACAUUAGAUACCCCGGUAGUCCCAGCCGUAAACGAUGUGCGUUAGGUGUAUCGACGACCACGAGUUGUCGAGGUGCCGAAGGGAAACCGUGAAACGUACCGCCUGGGAAGUACGGUCGCAAGGCUGAAACUUAAGGAAUUGGCGGGGAGCACCACAACAGGUGGAGCCUGCGGUUUAAUUGGACUCAACGCCGGACAUCUCACCGGAUAAGACAGCUGAAUGAUUGCCGGGCUGAAGACUCUGCAUGACUAGCUG
rnacentral:rRNA from 1 species